rnacentral:rRNA from 1 species
CCCUUAGAUGUUCUGGGCUGCACGCGCGCUACACUGAUGCAUUCAACGAGUAUAUUUCCUUGCCUGGAAGGGUUGGGUAAUCUCUUUAAAAUGCAUCGUGAUGGGGAUAGACUCUUGCAAUUAUUAGUCUUCAACGAGGAAUUCCUAGUAAACACGAGUCAACAUCUCGUAUUGAUUACGUCCCUGCCCUUUGUACACACCGCCCGUCGCUCCUACCGAUUGUGUGCUUCGGUGAAUAAUUCGGACCGUUCCUCACAAAGUUUGGUGAACCUAAGCACAUAGAGGAAGGAGAAGUCGUAACA